rnacentral:rRNA from 1 species
AAUGAACGUUGGCGGCGUGGAUUAGGCAUGCAAGUCGAGCGAGAACCCGCAAGGGGGACAGCGGCAAACGGGGUAGUAAUGUGUCGGAACGUGCCCUCUGGACGGGGAUAGCGGCGGGAAACUGCCGCUAAUACCCGAUGAACUCGAGAGAGCAAAGGUGUGAUUCCGCCGGAGGAGCGGCCGACAUGGUAUUAGCUAGUUGGCGGGGUAACGGCCCACCAAGGCUGUGAUGCCUAGGGGAUGUGAGAGCAUGAUCCCCACCAUUGGGACUGAGACACUGCCCAGACACCUACGGGUGGCUGCAGUCGAGAAUCUUCGUCAAUGGGCGAAAGCCUGAACGAGCGACGCCGCGUGCGGGAUGAAGGCCGUUGGGUUGUAAACCACUGUCAGGGGGGAUGAAACCGCAAGGUUGACAGAGCCCCAGAGGAAGCACGGGCUAAGUUCGUGCCAGCCGCCGCGGUAAGAC